UACAGAGGGGGCAAGCGUUAUUCGGAAUUAUUGGGCGUAAAGGGCGCGUAGGCGGCCUGGCAAGUGGAAGGUGAAAUCCCUCGGCUUAACCGAGGAACUGCCCUCCAAACUGCUUGGCUUGAGUCCGGGAGAGGUGAGUGGAAUUCCCAGUGUAGCGGUGAAAUGCGUAGAUAUUGGGAGGAACACCAGUGGCGAAGGCGGCGAUCUGGGAAGAUACUGACGCUGAGGUGCGAAAGCGUGGGGAGCAAACAGG
rnacentral:rRNA from 1 species